rnacentral:rRNA from 1 species
AACAGGAUUAGAUACCCUGGUAGUCCACGCCGUAAACGAUGUCGACUUGGAGGUUGUGCCCUUGAGGCGUGGCUUCCGGAGCUAACGCGUUAAGUCGACCGCCUGGGGAGUACGGCCGCAAGGUUAAAACUCAAAUGAAUUGACGGGGGCCCGCACAAGCGGUGGAGCAUGUGGUUUAAUUCGAUGCAACGCGAAGAACCUUACCUGGCCUUGACAUCCAGAGAACUUAGCAGAGAUGCUUUGGUGCCUUCGGGAACUCUGAGACAGGUGCUGCAUGGCUGUCGUCAGCUCGUGUUGUGAAAUGUUGGGUUAAGUCCCGCAACGAGCGCAACCCUUAUCCUUUGUUGCCAGCGGUUCGGCCGGGAACUCAAAGGAGACUGCCAGUGAUAAACUGGAGGAAGGUGGGGAUGACGUCAAGUCAUCAUGGCCCUUACGAGUAGGGCUACACACGUGCUACAAUGGCGCAUACAAAGAGAAGCGACCUCGCGAGAGCAAGCGGACCUCAUAAAGUGCGUCGUAGUCCGGAUCGGAGUCUGCAACUCGACUCCGUGAAGUCGGAAUCGCUAGUAAUCGUAGAUCAGAAUGCUACGGUGAAUACGUUCCCGGGCCUUGUACACACCGCCCGUCACACCAUGGGAGUGGGUUGCAAAAGAAGUAGGUAGCUUAACCUUCGGGAGGGCGCUUACCACUUUGUGAUUCAUGACUGGGGUGAAGUCGUAACAAGGUAACC